rnacentral:rRNA from 1 species
GUAGCGAAAUUCCUUGUCGGGUAAGUUCCGACCUGCACGAAUGGCGUAACGACUUGGGCGCUGUCUCAACCAUGGACCCGGUGAAAUUGUAUUAUUCGUGAAGAUGCGAAUUACCUGCGGAAGGACGGAAAGACCCCGUGAACCUUUACUGCAGCUUGGCAUUGGCUGUUGGUGCGGUGCGUAGAGGAUAGGCAGGAGCCUGCGAACCGGGAACGCCAGUUCCCGGGGAGGCGCCCUUGGAAUACUGCCCUCACCGCAUCGGCAGCCUAACGCGCCGCCCUCAUCGGGGGCGCGGACCGUGCCAGGUGGGUAGUUUGACUGGGGCGGUCGCCUCCUAAACUGUAACGGAGGCGUGCGAAGGUUCGCUCAGGGCGGUUGGCAAUCGCCCGCAGAGCACAAGAGUACAAGCGAGCCUGACUGCGAGACCAACAAGUCGAGCAGAGACGAAAGUCGGUUCUAGUGAUCCGGCGGCCCAGCGUGGAAUGGCCGUCGCUCAACGGAUAAAAGGUACUCCGGGGAUAACAGGCUGAUCUUGCCCAAGAGUCCACAUCGACGGCAAGGUUUGGCACCUCGAUGUCGGCUCAUCGCAUCCUGGGGCUGUAGCAGGUCCCAAGGGUUGGGCUGUUCGCCCAUUAAAGCGGUACGCGAGCUGGGUUCAGAACGUCGUGAGACAGUUCGGUCCCUAUCCUCCGUGGGCGCAAGAGAAUUGAGAGGAUCUGUCCCUAGUACGAGAGGACCGGGAUGGACGCACCUCUGGUGCCGCAGUUGUCGACCAACGGCACAGCUGCCUAGCUACGUGCGGAACGGAUAACCGCUGAAAGCAUCUAAGCGGGAAGCCGGCCUCGAGAUGAGUUCUCUCUUCGGUAAGGCCACUUGUAGACCACAAGUUCGAUAGGCCGCAGCUGCAAGCCCCGCGAGGGGCUCAGGCGAGCGGUACUAAUCGGCCGAGCUCUUCAUCUC